rnacentral:rRNA from 1 species
UACGUAGGGGGCAAGCGUUGUCCGGAAUUAUUGGGCGUAAAGCGCGCGCAGGCGGUUUAUUAAGUCUGAUGUGAAAGCCCACGGCUCAACCGUGGAGGGCCAUUGGAAACUGGUAGGCUUGAGUGCAGGAGAGGAGAGCGGAAUUCCCGGUGUAGCGGUGAAAUGCGUAGAUAUCGGGAGGAACGCCGGUGGCGAAAGCGGCGCACUGGAUCCCUACUGACGCUCAGGUGCGAAAGCUAGGGGAGCGAACAGG